rnacentral:rRNA from 1 species
UCGAACGGUAACAGGGAUUAGCUUGCUAAUCUGCUGACGAGUGGCGGACGGGUGAGUAAUGCUUGGGAAUCUGGCUUAUGGAGGGGGAUAACUACGGGAAACUGUAGCUAAUACCGCGUAAAAUCUUCGGAUUAAAGGGUGGGACUUUCGAGCCACCUGCCAUAAGAUGAGCCCAAGUGGGAUUAGGUAGUUGGUUAGGUAAAGGCUGACCAAGCCGACGAUCUCUAGCUGGUCUGAGAGGAUGACCAGCCACACUGGAACUGAGACACGGUCCAGACUCCUACGGGAGGCAGCAGUGGGGAAUAUUGCACAAUGGGGGGAACCCUGAUGCAGCCAUGCCGCGUGAAUGAGGAAGGCCUUCGGGUUGUAAAGUUCUUUCGGUGACGAGGAAGGUUGAUAGGUUAAUAGCCUAUCAAAUUGACGUUAAUCACAGAAGAAGCACCGGCUAACUCCGUGCCAGCAGCCGCGGUAAUACGGGGGGUGCGAGCGUUAAUCGGAAUAACUGGGCGUAAAGGGCACGCAGGCGGUGACUUAAGUGAGAUGUGAAAGCCCCGAGCUUAACUUGGGAAUUGCAUUUCAUACUGGGUCGCUAGAGUACUUUAGGGAGGGGUAGAAUUCCACGUGUAGCGGUGAAAUGCGUAGAGAUGUGGAGGAAUACCGAAGGCGAAGGCAGCCCCUUGGGAAUGUACUGACGCUCAUGUGCGAAAGU